UAGCAAUGAGGUAAAGUAUAGUCUUUAAUCGUCCCUCGCGAAACGAAGGAUUUCGAGGUAGCUAUGAUGGUAUAUAAUAUCAGAAAGAUAGGGGCAAGGAGGAAUGAACAGUGGUAGUUAAUGAGGAACAAUUUAUUGAAAGCAAAUACAAUUUGGCAUCUACACUAUCAACAUUAUUUCAUCAUCAUCAUACCGAUAAUCAUGUUAUGACCAUCAACAACAUCGUCGUCAUUGUUAUCACCACCCUCCCUAUACAUGCCGCUUCGUGUUUAGCAUGCAUGCACUCUUUAAUUUUAAUACUUCUUGCAUUGUUUUCUGUUGAAGGAAAAAAGCUAGUGCGAGUGACGAGGAUUCUGUAUAGUAAGUAUCUUUCUAUCCAUCUAGCUGCAGUUCGCCUUUCAGAAACUUCUACCUCAAAGCUAUAGGCUUUCACAUUCUUUUCUUUCGCAAAAGUUUGAAAAAAUGUUAAUAGUAUAUGAUAGCCGAAACAUCCGGGCCGGUUGUACGAAAGCCGGAUAGGGCUAUAUCCCACCGCAGGUAGUGAUUUUUUCAAGCUUUCUCAAAUUAUCCCUUGAUUCGAUAAUAAUUAUAACCUAGAUUAAACUUUAGCAUGUAUAAAUUGAAGUCUUUUUUUUGGACUUGUAAAGCCCAUAUCCGUACUUUAACAGCUUUUCAAGCAUUUUAUAACGGUGGGAAAAUCACUAUCCGGCGGAUGGCGCUAUCCGGCCUUCGUACAACCGCGGUCACUGUAUUGUGCAUGUAAACCAACAUCAGUGAUCCAUAACGUUACCGGUCUGCAUGUAUGGUUGUACCCAUUUUGGAAAUAUAUAUACCAGACAUGCUUCCUCAAACAUGUGUAUAAUAUUUUUCUUAGUUAUGCUAAUCCAUCAUCACCACAAGAAAAAGUCUGGGUUGGAAACUCCAGGGUUUGUAAAGAAGGUAGAAAUCCUAUUUACGAGCCGACGGAGGGGCCAGAACCUCCUGCUUUGUACGCUUCACCGGAUAAUACUUAUGAACCACUGGUCGAAAAUCAAGGUCAUGCUGCGCAAAGUGAAAAUCCGU
rnacentral:lncRNA from 1 species